GGGGACGUAGCUCAGUGGGAGAGCGUUCGGUUCGCAUCCGAGAGGUCGUGGGUUCGACCCCCAUCGUCUCCACCA
rnacentral:tRNA from 1 species